rnacentral:tRNA from 1 species
AAUGAUGUGCCUGAUUAAAGGAUUAUUAUGAUGUAAUAAAUUAAGUAAAUUAAAGUUUUAUUGUCAUUA